UCUCAGUUCGGAUUGAAGUCUGUAACUCGACUUUAUGAAGUUGGAAUCGCUAGUAAUCGCGCAUCAGCAAUGGCGCGGUGAAUACGUUCUCGGGUCUUGUACACACCGCCCGUCAAGCCAUGGAAAUUAAUGGUAUCUAAAGUUAAUACUUAAGUAUUAAUGAGGAUAAAAUUAAUAACUAGGGCUAAGUCGUAACAAGGUAGCCGUAUCGGAAGAUGUGGCUGGAAAAUCUCUGUU
rnacentral:rRNA from 1 species